rnacentral:rRNA from 1 species
GGAGAAUGCCUGGGCACAGAGAGGCGAUGAAGGACGCAGCGAACAGCGAAAUGCGGCGGCGAGCGGUAAGCACGCGAUGACCCGCCGAUAUCCGAAUGGGGAAACCCCUCCGCUCAAGAAGCGGAGACCGCAUGACGACCGUCAUGACGGGGCAAUACGCAGGGAACUGAAACAUCUAAGUACCUGCAGGAAGAGAAAGAGAAGUCGAUUCCGUAAGUAGCGGCGAGCGAAAGCGGAGGAGCCCAAACCGGACACAGUCCGGGGUUGUAGGACCGCCGAUAAAGAUGACAUGAAGAGUCAGGAGAAUCCCAUGGGAAGGGGAUCCGAAGAGGGUGAGAGACCCGUAUCCGAAGGCUCGACAUGGAUCGAGGCGGCACCUGAGUACGGCGGGGCACGUGGAAUCCUGCCGGAAUCAUCGGGGACCAUCCCGAAAGGCUAAACACUACUCUGUGACCGAUAGCGAACCAGUACCGUGAGGGAAAGGUGAAAAGAACCCCGGGAGGGGAGUGAAAGAGAACCUGAAACCGCAUGCCCACAAGAAGUCAGAGCCCGUCAAAGGGUGAUGGCGUGCCUUUUGUAGAAUGAGCCGGCGAGUCACGAUCAGCAGGCGAGGUUAAGCAGGAUAUGCGGAGCCGCAGCGAAAGCGAGUCUUAAGAGGGCGGAAUAGUCUGAGGUCGUGGACCCGAAACCGGGUGAUCUAGCCAUGAGCAGGUUGAAGUCGGGGUAAGACCCGAUGGAGGACCGAACCGACCCCCGUUGAAACGUUGGCGGAUGACUUGUGGCUAGGGGUGAAAUUCCAAUCGAACCCGGAGAUAGCUGGUUCUCCCCGAAAUAGCUUUAGGGCUAGCGUCGGAAAGAACCUUAGUGAAGGUAGAGCACUGAAUGUGUGAUGGCCCCAUCCCGGGGUACUGAAUACAAUCAAACUGCGAAUGUCAUUAAGGAUGUCCGGCAGUCAGACUGUGAGUGAUAAGGUCCAUGGUCAAGAGGGAAACAGCCCAGACCGCCAGUUAAGGUCCCAAAAUACAGGCUAAGUGGAAAAGGAUGUGGGGAUGCCCAGACAACUAGGAGGUUGGCUCAGAAGCAGCCAUCCUUUAAAGAGUGCGUAACAGCUCACUAGUCGAAUGACUCUGCGCCGAUAAUUUACCGGGGCUAAGCAUGACACCGAAGCUAUGGACAGGAAUGUGGUAGGGGAGCAUUGCAUGCAGCGGAGAAGCAUGACCGAAAGGGCAUGUGGAGCGCAUGGAAGAGAGAAUGCCGGCGUGAGUAGCGGCACGUGGGUGAGAAUCCCACGCACCGAUGGCCCAAGGUCUCCAGAGGAAGGCUCGUCCUCUCUGGGAUAGUCGGGACCUAAGGCGAGGCCGAAAGGCGUAGCCGAUGGACGACGGGUGGAUAUUCCCGUACCCGAUGUGUGGCGAUGGAGUGACGGAGAAGGCUCAGGCAACCAGCUGCUGGAAUAGCUGGGGCAAGCGAGAUACCUGCGCACCAGGGAAAUCCGGUGCGCAUAAGGGGAAGGCGCGAUGCAUACGGAAAGCUUCGGCAAGUACGGAAAAGCUGAGAGCAGGCUUCCAGGAAAAGCUUCUAGCACAACACACAUCGGCCCGUACCGAAAAUGGACACACAUGGGCAAGGAGAGAAUCCUGAGGUGAGCGAGAGAACUAUAGCUAAGGAACUCUGCAAAAUGACCCCGUAACCUAGGGAGAAGGGGUGCUCCAGAAAUGGAGCCGCAGUAAAACGGCCCAAGCGACUGUUUACCAAAAACACAGCUCUCUGCGAAGGCGCAAGCCGAAGUAUAGGGGGUGACGCCUGCCCGGUGCUGGAAGGUCAAGGGGAGCUGUCAGCGCAAGCGAAGCAGCGAGCCGAAGCCCCAGUAAACGGCGGCCGUAACAAUAACGGUCCUAAGGUAGCGAAAUUCCUUGUCGGGCAAGUUCCGACCCGCACGAAAGGCGUAACGAUUUGGGCGCUGUCUCAGCUGUAGACUCGGUGA